rnacentral:rRNA from 1 species
CCCUUAGAUGUUCUGGGCCGCACGCGCGCUACACUGACGGAGUCAACGAGUUGUCCUGCAUCGGAAGGUGUGGGUAAUCUUUUGAAACUUCGUCGUACUGGGGAUAGAUCUUUGCAAUUUUCGAUCUUGAACGAGGAAUUCCUAGUAAGCGUGAUUCAUCAGAUCGCGUUGAUUACGUCCCUGCCCUUUGUACACACCGCCCGUCGCUACUACCGAUUGAAUGGUUUAGUGAGGCCUCGGGACUGGCGCGCUCGAGUAGCAAUACACCUGCGCGCCGGGAACUUGGUCAAACUUGAUCAUUUAGAGGAAGUAAAAGUCGUAACA